rnacentral:rRNA from 1 species
GAUGAACGCUGGCGGCGUGCUUAACACAUGCAAGUCGAGCGAGAAGUUUUGAAAAGCUUCUUCGGAUGAAAUUUAAAAUGGAAAGCGGCGGACGGGUGAGUAACGCGUAGGCAACCUGCCCCAUACAAAGGGAUAGCAUUUGGAAACGAAUAUUAAUACCUUAUGAAACUUAACUAGUGCAUGCUAGGUAGGUCAAAGAUUUAUCGGUAUGGGAUGGGCCUGCGUCUGAUUAGCUAGUUGGUGAGGUAACGGCUCACCAAGGCGACGAUCAGUAGCCGACAUGAGAGGGGGAGCGGGCAGAAGGGGAAGGAGAUAGGGCACAGACUCCUACGGGAGGAAGCAGUGGGGAAUAUUGAACAAUGGGCGGAAGCAGGAUGAAGAAACGCUGCGUGAGGGAUGAAGGCAGUCGGGAGGUAAACAGAUUGCGCCGGUGACGAAGAGGGAGGGACGGUAAGGGGUAAAGAAGCAACGGCGAACUACGUG